rnacentral:rRNA from 1 species
UUUCCGUAGGUGAACCUGCGGAAGGAUCAUUGUCGAAACCUGCGAAGGCAGAACGACCCGCGGACGAGUGAGAACCCUACCGGCCCGACGUCCGGGGAGGGGGCUGCGGGAAACCCCGUCUCCCUCUCCCGCGGGCACGAACAACGACCCCCGGCGCGAACCGCGUCAAGGAAACUGAAAAAGAUGUGCGAUCCCCUCGUCCCGGAGACGGUGUCGCGGGGGGGUCGCGUCGUCGUCGGUAACGCAGACGAAACGACUCUCGGCAACGGAUAUCUCGGCUCUCGCAUCGAUGAAGAACGUAGCGAAAUGCGAUACUUGGUGUGAAUUGCAGAAUCCCGUGAACCAUCGAGUUUUUGAACGCAAGUUGCGCCCGAAGCCGCGAGGCCGAGGGCACGCCUGCCUGGGUGUCACGCAACGUCGCCACGAAUCCACUCGCCCCGUUCCCCGCGGAACGUCGAGUCGAGGGAUGGCGGAGAUUGGCCUCCCGUGGGCUCUCGCUCGCGGUUGGCCCAAAAAACAGGGUCCCCUGGCGACGGCAGCCACGGCACGCGGUGGUUGGCAGCACGAGCUCCCGUAACACCGUCGUGGGCGAGCCUCGUCGAUGGGGUGCGAAGGGCCCCGACGCAUGCGUCCCCUCUAAAAGCGACCCCAGGUCAGGCGGGAACACCCGCUGAGUUUAA